UUCCUUGUGCCCUACCUCAAAAUUAAUAAGUCACUUUUUUCUGCUCAGUUCUGGAAAAGCAGGUUGUGGUCCCAGGCGGUCCCUUGGUGCGAUGGGUUGAGGCCUCUGUCCAAGAUGGGAAAUGCUGCUGGUGUCUCCUUCCCGCACGGCUCAUGCCCAAGCGAUGGACCUUCUCUUCUGCUGGUGCUGGCUCCCAGGUCCCAGCUUUCAUCAGCCCUUUGCAGGAACGAAAAGAAGAGGCUGAGGGAGGGAUUUAAGCUCCUUAAAAGGUGCUGAAGCAUGAAUUUUUCACCGAUUCCCUCUCCUUCCUUGUGCAAGGCUUGUUUCCUGGACCCUCUCUCCAACUGGAAUAAAGCCGGAUUAGCUCCGAUAUUGAUUCUAGACGAAGUCCCGGGAUCCUUCCUUCGUGUUGCUCCUCCUUUGCUCUGGACUAUUUUUGCACAGCCUCGAUGAAGAUUUAUUUUGAUGCGUCAGUACUUUUUGAAGGAUGUGGGUUGUCUGUGUUACAGGCGGUGAAGAUUAACAUAGCAAUUAGCAGCCACAUCAGUUAGAAGCACAUAGUGAUGUUAAUUAAAUGCUAAUUCCAAGUAAUUAAUUAGCAGGGCACUUGGGCAGUGGGCAGUGCUGAACCGCAGCCUCAUCCUCUGGGUGGGCAGAGCCCCUGGAAAAGGCAGACUCCAGAGCUUUUAGGUGAAUAUACAGGUUUUGCACAGGUGAUUUGUGUGCAAUUUGGGUAGUGUCAGAGGGCAAUCAGUUAUUCGGUGUUGAGAGCUGUUCCUUUUAGUAUAGAAGUGUUUGAAAUCAGCUGUUGCUGUUUCUGAUUCAUUCUUGCCUACAGGAAAAGAGGGGAAAAAAAGUUUCAAGGCAGUAAAAAAUUCCAUGAGGAAAAUUACCAUAUCUGGUAUGGUUGAUCUAAUUUCCUGCUAGAAAAAGGAUCAGAACAGAGAUAAAAUGCGCACCAAUAGGGUACAUGCGGUCUUGCCUCGGGGUAAUCUGCUCAGCUGUUUUAUCAUUCUGCAAUACAUUAGAGCGAGGUAAUGUUGUACAAAUGAGAUGAUUUCUUCAAGAAUGUAAGGGCCAUAAUUUAGAAGGCGAAAAACUGCAAAUAUGAGGAGCACGUAGUGCUAGUAAUAGUUACAGAUACGUUUCAGCUUGAAUGUUUUGCCUGUUUAUUGGGGAGAGUUAUAUUUCUCCAAAGAGCGUUUGAGAUGAGCUCGGUGGUUAAUUCUUCAGGAAUGUGACAAUUGCCCAGAGUGCCAAUGGUGUGUUAGAACAACUGCUGACGUCUUUUUAAUUUGUGCUCUUCCUUGCAAAGCUUUCUAAUAUGUAGCAGCUAAUAGUUAAAACUAUGGUAGGUUGAGUUUCUGCCCUAACAGACAAAUGCAAUUUACAUCAAGCAAAGACAAAUGACACACUUAAGGCAUUAAUAUGUAUGAAUCCCACCCACGUACACUGUAUCUUGCUGGGUCUACCUUUUAAAAUUAAAGCUGUAUUCAUGCUAUAAUACUAAGUUUCACUUUGUAUUUGAAAUCCUUCUUUUUAAAACUCAUCCAUCUUUACUGAAGCAAGUAGAGGUUUAUAAUGAGAAUUUUGGCAUAUGUUUUGAAAGAAUGUGAAAAGUUUCUACAGAAAUACUUGUUUACAAGUACAAUGGUAGUAAGUCUGUUAAAAUAUUAAUAAGGAUAAAACUGAGCCAAGUUUGAUUCAUAUACAAAAAUCUUAGUAUUUUUAUAUGUAUAAUAUGAGAUUUUCAUGUCUUGAUUAGGUAUGAUAAAAGAAUCUUGCUGAGGAAAAAUUCUUUCCCCAUAAAUGGCUGGUUACUGGUAUGGUUGUCUCUGACUUGUGGACUCAGAAUCCAUUCAGUUAGACCCAAAAUGUACUUUUCAGUUGAAUUUACUCAUAUACAUGUGUCAAUGUAUGACUUUGCCAGGCACUAUUUGAUCAGUCUAUGACCCAAUAAUGAAUUAUGUUUUGAAGUUUACUCUUGAAGUUUUCUUUUUGUGCCUGAAAAACAGGACUGUCUUUGAAUGCCAAUUACCUGAAAAAGAGCUAAUAAGUGAACCCUCCCAUUAUCAAUGCAACAUAUGGUCUACUGAAUCCCAAAGCUGGGGGAAGUCAUGCAUCAACUUCUACUCCCAGUUUUUAAAAUAUGCUCGAACCUUUAGUAGAGAUGUGAAGAAUAUGGAGAACUGAGACCGCAGGAUCCCACUGCAGCUUUAGCUGUCUUCUGAAAUUAGGCUCUGUUUUGUUUCUGCUCCUCUCCUGUCUCUUAAUAAAACAUUUUUUUUAGCUUU